rnacentral:rRNA from 1 species
UGGACGAUAUGGAAGUGAUUAUGCCGGUAUAAGUAGCAAUAAUUCCGGUGAGAAUCCGGAACACCGAAAGCCUCAGGUUUCCUGGGGAAGGUUAAUCCACCCAGGGUUAGUCGGGCCUAAGCUAAGUCCUGGUAAAUCAGGGGUAGGCGAUGGACAGCAGGCUAAAAUUCCUGCACCAUCUGAAGAACGUUUGAGCGAGGGGGUAACGCAGUAGGCAAUACCAGCCCCGGGUUGGUAGUCGGGGUCCAAGCCUGUACUCUGUUCUGGUUGGCAAAUCCGCCAGAACAUUAAGAGGAAGGGCGUUAGGGAGCCCAAUCCACGGAGCGGGCGAACUGGUACUAUCCAAACUGCCAAGAAAAACCUCUAAGCGAGUUCUUCGGAUGCCCGUACCGCAAACCAACACAGGUAGGCGAGGAGAGAAUCCUAAGGUGUGCGAGAUAACCCUCGUUAAGGAACUCGGCAAAAUGACUCCGUAACUUCGGAAGAAGGAGUGGUCCGGUCGGUGAAGUUCCUCGUGAAUGGAGCUGACUGGACUCGCAGUGAAACGGCCCAGGCGACUGUUUACUAAAAACACAGGUCUCUGCUAAGUCGUAAGACGACGUAUAGGGGCUGACACCUGCCCGGUGCUGGAAGGUUAAGUAGAGGGGUUAUCCCGAAACUUGUUUCGGGAGAAGCUCUGAAACGAAGCCCCAGUAAACGGCGGCUGUAACUAUAACAGUCCUAAGGUAGCGAAAUUCCUUGUCGGGCAAGUUCCGACCUGCACGAAUGGUGUAACGAUCUGGGCGCUGUCUCAACGAGGGA